rnacentral:rRNA from 1 species
UGGGGAAUUUUGGACAAUGGGCGCAAGCCUGAUCCAGCCAUGCCGCGUGAGUGAAGAAGGCCUUCGGGUUGUAAAGCUCUUUCGGCCGGGAAGAAAUCGCGCCUGUGAAUAAUGGGCGUGGAUGACGGUACCGGAAGAAGAAGCACCGGCUAACUACGUGCCAGCAGCCGCGGUAAUACGUAGGGUGCGAGCGUUAAUCGGAAUUACUGGGCGUAAAGCGUGCGCAGGCGGCUACAUAAGACAGCUGUGAAAGCCCCGGGCUUAACCUGGGAACUGCGGUUGUGACUGUGUGGCUAGAGUGUGGCAGAGGGGGGUGGAAUUCCACGUGUAGCAGUGAAAUGCGUAGAGAUGUGGAGGAACACCGAUGGCGAAGGCAGCCCCCUGGGUCGCCACUGACGCUCAUGCACGAAAGCGUGGGGAGCAAACAGG